GACGUAGGGCGCGAGCGUUGUCCGGAUUUAUUGGGCGUAAAGAGCUCGUAGGCGGCUCGUUGCGUCGGCUGUGAAAACCCGCAGCUCAACUGUGGGCUUGCAGCUGAUACGGGCGGGCUGGAGUUCGGUAGGGGAGACUGGAAUUCCUGGAUGUAGCGGUGGAAAUGACGCAGAUAUCAGGAGGAACACCGGUGGCGAAGGCGGGUCUCUGGGCCGAUACUGACGCUGAGGAGCGAAAGCGUGGGGAGCGAACAGG
rnacentral:rRNA from 1 species